GACACGGCCCAUACACCUACGGGUGGCUGCAGUCGAGAAUCUUCCACAAUGGACGAAAGUCUGAUGGAGCGACGCCGCGUGAUUGAUGAAGUCCCUUUGGGACGUAAAGAUCUUUUAUGAGGGAAGAAGUUUAUUGACGGUACCUCAUGAAUAAGGGGCUCCUAAACUCGUGCCAGCAGCAGCGGUAAUACGAGUGGCCCAAGCGUUAUCCGGAAUUAUUGGGCGUAAAGGAUGUGUAGGUGGUUGUGUUAGUCGGACGUCUAACCUCUGAGCUCAACUUGGAGACAGCGUCCGAAACGGCACGGCUAGAGUAUGUCAGGGGUAAGCGGAACUCAUAGUGUAGGGGUGAAAUCCGUUGAUAUUAUGGGGAACACCAAAAGCGAAGGCAGCUUACUGGGACAUUACUGACACUGAAACAUGAAAGCGUGGGUAGCGAAUGGGAUUAGAUACCCCAGUAGUCCACGCCCUAAACGAUGUUCUCUCGCUAUCAUGAGUAUCGACCCUCAUGGUGGCUUAGCUAACGCGGUAAGAGAACCGCCUGGGAAGUACGAUCGCAAGAUUAAAACUCAAAGGAAUAGACGGGGACUCGCACAAGCGGUGGAUUAUGUGGUUUAAUUCGUAGGUAAACGAAGAACCUUACCAUGUCUUGAAACCUAACUGAAAGCUCUAAGAAACUAGAGCCCUCGCAAGACAGUUAGGCAGGUGAUGCAUGGCCGUCGUCAGUUCGUGGUUUGAAUUGUUCCCUUCAGUGGGGUAACGAACGCAACCCUCGUCGUGUGUUAUAAGUGUCACACGAGACUGCCCCCGCUUUUGAGCACAAAAGCUUACUGUAUAAGUAAGUCUUUGCGAACAGAAGCGGGGGAGGAAGGCGAGGAUGACGCCAGGUCCGCAUGUCCCUUUGACAUCUUGGGCUACACACA
rnacentral:rRNA from 1 species